AAUAUUAUCCAGUACCGAUAGGAAAUUAUUGUAUAUGCAAUGAAAUUAUAUAUAAUAGUUACCUGUAAGACGGUUAUAGGACAGGUCAAGCACUUUGAGUCUUGAAAGAGCACCAGUUUCUGAUGGUAUCCUUCCGGAGAGAAAACGAGUGCCCCAAAUUCUGAAAGUUACGAGGUUGGGAAAGCAAGUGAAGUUGAGUUGGCUAAGCUCUGCUGCGUUGCCAUUAUUAUCCAUCUCGUCAGAACUUAUCUCAACUAUGCUUCCUGCUGAAUUGCAAGUGAUUCCCAUCCACUUGCAAUGAUCUGAAGUAUAGUUGGCCGUCGCCCGACUGCUAUUCCACCAGCCUGAAUUAAGUAAAGCUUCCCUUUCUAACUGUAAGGCUGACGAUGCAUCAGAUGCUGUUAGAACUGCAUUAUCAGUUAUAACAGGAACAAUAAUACUGCUUAUAAAAGUUAUAAUGACCACCAAUUUUGAAAUGGAGGAAUCCGGUGCCAUUUUUGUAAGUUUUUGGUUGAUUAGAUUCAGCGGGUGCAUGCCUGCUUUUAUAACUAAACAUUAAGUUUGACAGCAACACUCAAUCAUUUUUAGCCCGCGUUGAGCUUUCUGCCUCAUCGUCAAAAUUGGCUUGCGCGUUAUCAAACACAAGAGUCAGUUGAGUUAAUGUCUUUUUAGGCCACUAAUUCCUAUUUUUAAUUAAUUUCGCAAAGUAAAGGCUACAUGUGAUUCAUAUUCUAGCAACUUUCUAUUUCUUUCUUUACUUUUUAGUCCACUUUCCAUUCUCCCAAUUACUUUUCUAGAAUGGAGGAUUAUAUAUAUUCUAGUAACUUUCAUUUUCUUUCUUUUCCUUUUGGAACAUACUUUAUGCCCGAAUUUAGACCCCGACCGAAUUCCACCAAAUUGUAUUUGUUCUUUUCUUUUUUGUAAUUUUUUUUUUCGCCUUUAUAUGGGUUCAUUUGGGAUUUAUGUUCGGGGCGUAUAGGCAUAGCAUUGCUCUUUACUUUGUGUCGACUUUCCUUCAUCAUCAAAAUAUUCGAUAAUGUCGGGAAAUAUUAAAAUUUGUUCUUAAUUAACAAAGAAUUAAGCCGACUACCAUAUUUCGCCAAAAGUCAAAGGAAAAUUUUCCAUUCUCCGGUACAACAUAUUCUAUAAUUUAUAGUAAUUGUCUAUUUGGUAAUGCGAACGGUUAUUUACACUAAGCAAUAUUUUGAAUAUUUUGAGACCCAAGUCAUACUCAAUGCUAAAAAUAAAAUAAAUAUUUUUUCUUCGUACAGAAAAAAAUAUAAAUUACCAACAUGUGAUAGGAGUUCAUCGAUACUUAUAUCAUUAUCAUCAUCCAAACCUAUAUUUGCAUCGUCAAUUUGUCGAUCUAGAAAUGAGACUAGUACCUAUGUGCUUAAUAAAAAAAAUUAUUAAAAAAAUAUUACCUUUCAAGUAAUACAUUAUUUUGUUGUGUAUUAUAUACUAAAUCAAUGAUGUAUUCUAAAUAGAUGUUCACCCUCAAGUGGUAUCAGAUAUCUACAUCUAAAAUGAUGUGUCUUAAAAUUUAAUGAGAAAAAUAUACAUAUAUUCUAAGGUUUGGGGAAAUAACAUGCAUGAACCUUACCAUAUAAUAUAACUUUAUGAUCGCAUUUUGGUGGAUAUUAUGUAAUUCAUUAACUUUGUUGUCUAUUAUAUACUAUAUUAAUGAUGAAUUCUAACUAGAUGAAAUUCACUCCCAAGUAGUGUCUGAUAUGGCCAUAUCCAUGUGUCCUAUAACUUUACUGAAACAAAUUUUGGGGAAUUUAAGAAUCUUUUUCUUUUUAUGUUUAGGAAAAUUAAUAAUUCGAAGUAGCUGCCAUUUUAGUUGUGUUUAAAAUUGAUUGUCUUAAAAAUUUGGAAAAUAUAUGGGAAAAUUUUCAAAAUGAUAAAAGGGAUAAUGUAGACUGACACGUUUAAACAUGUGAACUCAUUAGUCGCCAAUUAUUUGAAACGCAAGGCCAGGGGAUGCCGUGUGAUUAAACACGUGAGUAGAAAACCUUUCAGGUGACUGGCUUUUUCUGAGCCGACCACAAAUUAAAGCAAAAUUGGAGUCAAGGUCUUGCAGACAAGGAAAAGAAGACGUGUGGGUACUGCGAGUUCACAUUUGAGGGUUGACUGACAAAUUUGUCCCUUGUCAAGCUUGUCAAAGAAGCACCUAUAAAUUUCACUUGAGAAUAUAUAUAUUUUAUAUUUAUCCAAAGUGAAGGAUUUAAUUAAACAAAAUUCAGUCUCACGAAUGUUAAUAUACCGAAAAAGGUUAUACAAAAACCACUAUCAAAAUUUUGGAUAAUCUUGAGAAAUUUUAAAAUUUGUUCUUAAUUAACAAAGAAUUACGCCCAAUACCAUAUUUCGCCAAAUCUCAAAGGAAAAUUUUCCAUUUUUCCGGUACAAUAUUUUCUAUAAUUUACGGUAAUUAUUAAUUGGUAAUGCCAAUGGUUUUUUACACUAAACAAUAUUUUCAGACCCAAGUCAUACACAAUGCUAAAACCAAAGUAAAUAUUUUUUUUUCAUUUGUACAGAAAAAAUAUAAAUUACCAAGUUCAUCAAUACUUAUUUCAUUUAUCAUCAUCCGAAUCUAUAUUUGCAUCAUCAAUUGUCGAUCUACAAAAGAGAAAUCAAAGAUGUUAAAAAUAUUUCUAAUAAUAAGAUAAAAAUUAAAUAUAAAGACUAGUACCUAGGUGUUUGAAUUAAAAAUAAUAAUCAUUAAAAAAUAUUACCUUUCAAGUAGUACAUAAUUUUGUUGUGUAUUAUAUACUACGUUAAUAAUGUAUUCCAAAUAGAUGAAACUCACUCCCAAGUUGUGUCCAAUAUGGUGAUAUCCUUGUGUCUUACAAUUCCCAUAGGAUGCUAGAGCCAUAUGGAAGCAUAUAGAAGAUUGAUUGGUCGUGAUUAUUAACACUUUUGAAGGUUUAUUCUAUAUACAUGAUCAGCUGAACUUGUUCUCUUUAAUUUUCAUAAAUGCAUUGACACAGUUUUUACUUUUUGAUCAUUGGAUAUCGCUGACUUUAAGUUCAUCGAAUUCUAAACUAGGGAAUGCUGUUUGACUUACAACCAUAAUAGUUAGGAAGGUUAUAACUAGAUGGUCACAAUGGUUUUCAAUCACCGAUUGCUUUCUUACGGAACAGAAAAGAAAGGAAAGAUCAUAACUUCUCCCCCACCAGCUUGUGUUAAUUGUCACUACUUAUUGUGGUUUAUUUUAUUUUUCAAAUCACAUUUGGUGACGGUUUCCAAUUCCACCAGCCGCAGAAAUCAAGUUGUAAUUCUAUUGUUUACAGAAUUUCAUUUCUGUUUACCAUUCAUCCUUGUAAUAUCAUAACAAGCAAUGUCAUACUUUUUACUUUUCAUAUUCUCAAAGUUCUUCAAAUCUUUUUAUUUCAAAUUGAAUGAAACAUUAAUUCUCAUUGGAUAAUCAACAUAUACUUGUCUUAGAGUCCUCAGGUGGACAACUUUUGGGGUUUUGGGUCCUCAUUUGUUGUACUGGUUGGUUCUUGAGGUAAAUAAUUCCAGGAUUCCUGAUAUUGAACAUUCAAUUUUCAUGUCUGAAACUUCCAAUAUCCAAAUUCACUCAUGCAAUACAACUACUCUAUUUUAAAUCAAUUAGAUGGUUUCAGAUACAGAUUUUGUAUUUCCAACAUAAAAAAUCAUGCAAGCUUUUGAUACCCAAAAGACCAUGAUUGGAUUUUUUCUUCUCCCCUCCUCUCCCCUGUAUUGUCAAGUCAUCCAUAAAUUUUCUGCAAUGUCAGACUGUGCAAAAGGUAAUUUUAUCAGUGUAAGUGCUUGCAUUGUUCAUUUCUUCAGACAGCCAUUUACUGUGUCCAACAAUUCAUGCUGUGUUCACUAAUUAAAGCAACUACGAGUCAAGGUCCUUUUAAGUCGGGAAAAUGACUAGGGUGGUGUGAAUUCACACAUGAAACUUAAUUGGCAUAUUUGUCACUCGGCAAGCUCAAUGGACCCGUUUCAAAUUCACUUUAGAAUCUUUAUUUAUUCUUUAACCAAAGAUAAGGAUUUAAAUACAAAAAAUUCAGCCUCACGAAAGUUAUACAAAAAGCUAUUAAUGAAAUACAUUCAAGAUUAACAAUCACAUUGAUCAAUCAAAUACAUGCCUUGUUUCAUAAGUUCUGAUAUGGAAAUUUCUUCAACAACAGGUUUUCCCAAUGGUGAUUUCCCUGUGAGAAAUUCUUGAGAUACGCGUUGCAUGGUAGGUCGAGACUUGGGUUUUGACUGCAAGCAUGCAAAUGCAACUAUUGAAACAAGAAUAAUAUCAUGAACAACCUUUCGAUCAAGUGGAGAUGGCAGACGUUGGUCUAAAAUAUCGAUCAACCUAAUCUUUCGUUCAGAUGAUGACGAUAAAGAUGAAAGAAGAUCUCCUGGAUGACUUCCCAUUAAUACUUCUAGUGCCACCACUCCAAAGCUAUAAACAUCACAUUUCUCUGUCACAGCCAUGGUGUAUGCAAGUUCUACAACAAAAUAGAACCCAUUGUAGAAUUUCUUUGCACAAGCAAGAAACAAAAUAUAUAUAUAUUUGAUUCACUGUUUCUGGAAGCUUCUGCAGCAAGAUAUUUAAGAGAUAUCUAAUUGAUUUUUAAAUAUGUUCAAUGCAUAAACAUGGGUAAGAAGCAUGAAAAGAAUAGCUAAAGUUUACCUGGAGCAAUAUAUCCAUAUGUCCCCACCACUAGAGUUCUGUUGGAGGAAUCUGGAUGCAGGAGCCUAGCCAAACCAAAAUCAGCAACAAAUGCCUCUAGGUUUGAGUUAAGUAGAAUGUUAUUGCUGGAUAUGUCGCGGUGAACAAUGGAUGGCUUGCAGUCAUAAUGUAGGUAAGACAAAGCAUGAGCCAUACUCUUUACAAUGUUCACUCUCUUAGUCCAAUCCAACUCAACUGUUUCAACAUCAUUGCGUAACACACAGAACAAGCUUCCCCUCUCCAUGUACUCAUAGAUCAAAAACAUGCACUUGUUGUGCAAACAAAAACCAUAAAGCUUCACUAUAUUACGAUGCCGUAUUUGGGAGAGUAGACGAGCUUCAGUUUGGAAACUUUCCAGGAAAGCUGGCUCCUCUGUCUCCGAACGGUGAAGUUUCUUCAAAGCGACUACUUUUCCACUGGACAAUUGUGCUCUGUAAACACUGCCAUAACCUCCGGUUCCAAUGCAAUAUUUGAUGUGGAAAUCCUCUGUCGCUUGAAUCAUCUCUUCAAAUGUAAUUCUACCAUCAUAAUUCCAUAUGGAGAACUCAUUAGCCCCCUCGGUCAUUUCUCGGGUAUUAGGAUUAAAUUUCUUAUCCUUUCGUCUAUGGACAAACAAGAUACCAAAAAUUAAGAUUGCGAAAAUAAAUGCCACCAUAGCAAGAAUGAUUGUGACCAAGCGAGUGACGAUCUUUCGUUGCUUCCCUUUGUUGCCUUUGAACGGUUUUGCUUGGGGUGGCGGUGCAUUUUCUGAACUAGUUGAGUUUUCUAACUCUAGAUUAUUUUCUGACACUAUCAAUUUGGGAAUUCUUCUGACAGAUGCAGGGACAACGCCGGAGAGGUUAUUCUUGGAAAGAUCCACGGCAGAAAUGUUUGGAAUAUUUCCGAGUUGUGAAGGUAUCGUGCCAUUUAUGAAGUUAUGGCUUAAAUCAAGUUGUCUCAGAUGUGUAAGGUUGCCUAUCUCCGACGGAACGAUUCCGCUUAAAGUGUUGUGGCUUAAUACCAAGUUCUGUAACUGCGAGCAAUUCAUGAGUUCUGGAGGAAUGGAGCUGCUGAGCUGAUUGUAACCAAGAUUCAAAGAGGUGAGGUUGGUUAAAUAACCAAUUGUUGGAGGAAUGGGUCCAAUUAGAUUGUUCCCAUCAAGGGAGAGAGAAUCAAGAUACUUCAGAUUUCCUACUUCUCGAGGCAGCAGACCACUAAGUUGGUUUGAAGAAAGAUCCAGAGAUGUUAAGUUGGUUAAAUUUCCUAUGGUCGGUGGAAUUGGACCAUCAAGUCUGUUGUGAGACAAGUCCAACUUUCCCCCCAAGUUUAAAUAACCAAUUGUCGAAGGAAUAGGUCCAGUGAGGUUGUUUCUAUUUAGAAGCAGAGAAUCAAGAUUCUUCAUAUUUCCAACUUCUUUAGGCAGUGGACCAACAAGAUUGUUGUAAGCCAAGUACAAAUAACUUAACUGAGUUAAAUGAUAAAGCGUUGAAGGAAUAGGCCCAGUUAGAUUGUUAUUAUCUAGAUACAGAUACACAAGAUUCUUCAGAUUUCCAACUUCUUGAGGCAGCCGACCACUAAGUUGGUUUAAAGAAAGCUCCAAAUGUGUCAAGCUAGUUAAAUUACCUAUGCUCGAUGGAAUUAGACCAUCCAGUUUGUUACCCUGCAACCUCAGUUGAUCAAGAUCCUUCAAAUUCCCAAAUUCUAAUAAGAUUGUUACUAGACAGGUGAAGCACUUGGAGUUUUGAAAGAGCACCAAUUUCUGAUGGUAUCCUUCCUAACGAAAAAAAGGAAAAAAAUAAUGUGUAUCAUUAAUUAAUGAUAAAUGAGCAAUAUUAUCCAGUACUGCUAGGAAAAUAAUGUGUAUGCAGUGAAAUUAUAUAUAAUGGUUACCUGUAAGACUGUUAUCGUACAGGACAAGCUCCUCGAGUUUUGAAAGAGCACCAAUUUCUGAUGGUAUCCUUCCGGAAAGAAGAGUGGACCAAAUUAUGAAACUUUCGAGGUUGGGAAAGCAAGUGAAGUUGAAUUGGCUAAGCUCUGCUCCGGUGAAAUUAUUAUCCAUCUCCCUAGAGCUUAUCUCCACUAUGCUUCCUGCUGAAUUGCAAGUGAUUCCCAUCCACUUGCAAUGAUUUGAAGUAUAGUUGGCCGUCGCCCGACUGCUAUUCCACCAGCCUGAAUUAACUAAAGCUUCCCUUUCUAACUGUAAGGCUGACGAUGCAGCAGAUGCUGUUACAACUGCAUUAUCAGUUAUAACAGGAACAAUAAUACUGCUUAUAAAAGUUAUAAUGACCACCAAGUUUGAAAUGGAGGAAUCCGGUGCCAUUUUUAUAAGUUUUUGGUUGAUUAGAUUCAGCCAGUGCGUGCCUGCUUUUAUAACCAAACAUUAAGUUUGACGGCAACACUCAAUCAUUUUUAGCCCGCGUUGAGCUUUCUCCCUCAUCGUCAAAAUUGGCAUACGCGUUAUCAAACACAAGGGCCAGUUGAGUUAAUGUCUUUUUAGGCCACUAAUUACUAUUUCUAAUUAAUUUCGCAAAGUAAAGGCUGCAUGUGAUUCAUAUUCUAGCAACUUUCUAUUUCUUUCUUUACUUUUUAGUCCGCUUUCCAUUCUCCCAAUUACUUUUCUAUUCCAGUAACUUUACUUUAUGUCCACUUUCCUUCACCAUCAAAAUAUUCGAUAAUGUUGAGAAAUAUUAAAAUUUGUUCUUAAUUAACAAAGAAUUAAGCCGACUACCAUAUUUCGCCAAAAGUCAAAGGAAAAUUUUCCAUUCCCCGGUACAACAUAUUCUAUAAUUUAUAGUAAUUGUCUAUUUUGUUAUUUAUUUUGAGGCCCAAAUAAAGUAUAUAUUUUUUUUCUUCGUACAGAAAAAAAUAUAAAUUACCAACAUGUGAUAGGACUUCAUUAAUACUUAUAUCAUUAUCAUCCUCCAAACCUAUAUUUGCAUCGUCAAUUUGUCGAUCUAGAAAUGAGACUAGUACAUAUGUGUUUGAAAAAAAAAUCAUUAGAAAAUAUUACCUUUCAAGUAAUACAUAAUUUUGUUGUGUAUUAUAUACUAAAUUAAUGAUGUAUUCUAAAUAGAUGAAGUUCACUCCCAAGUGGUAUCAGAUAUCUACAUCUAAAAUGAUGUGUCUUAUAAUUUAAUGAGAAAAAUACACACACUCCGCGAUUUGGGGAAAUAACAUGCAUGAACCUUACCAUACAAUAUAACAUUAUGAUUGCAUUUUGGUAGAUAUUUUGUAAGUCAUUAAUUUUGUUGUCUAUUAUAUACUAUAUUAAUGAUGAAUUCUAAAUAGAUGAAAGUCACUCCCAAGUAGUGUAUGAUAUGACGAUAUCCAUGUGUCUUAUAACUUUACUGAAAUAAAUUUUGGGGAGUUCAAGUAUCUUUUUCUUUUAUAUUUAUGAGAAUUAAUAAUUCAAACUAGCUGUCAUUUUAGUUGUGUUUAAAAUUAAUUGUCUUAAGAAUUUGGAAAAUAUAUGGAAAAUUUUUCAAAAUGAUAAAAGGGAUAAUGUAGACUGACACGUUUAAACAUGAGUUCGUUUAAACAUGUGAACUCAUUAGUUGCCAAUUAUUUGAGACGCACAGCCAGGGGAUGCCGUGUGAUUAAACACGUGAGUAGAAAACUUUUCAGGUCACUGGCUUUUUCUGAGCCGACCACAAAUUAAAGCAAAAUUGGAGUCAAGGUCUUGCAGACAAGGAAAAGAAGACGUGUGGGUACUGCGAGUUCACAUUUGGGGGUUGACUGACAUAUUUGUCCCUUGUCAAGCUCGUCAAAGAAGCACCUAUAAAUUUCACUUGAGAAUAUAUAUAUUUUAUAUUUAUCCAAAGUGAAGGAUUUAAUUAAAAAAAAUUCAGUCUCACGAAUGUUAAUAUACCGAAAAAAGUUAUACAAAAACCACUAUAAAAAUUUUGGAUAAUCUUGAGAAAUUUUAAAAUUUGUUCUUAAUUAACAAAGAAUUACGCCCAAUACCAUAUUUCGCCAAAUCUCAAAGGAAAAUUUUCCACUUUUCCAGUACAAUAUUUUCUAUAAUUUACGGUAAUUAUCUAUUGAUAAUGCUAAUGGUUUUUACACUAAACAAUAUUUUCAGACCCAAGUCAUACACAAUGCUAUAAAUUACCAAGUUCAUCAAUACUUAUGUCAUUUAUCAUCAUCCGAAGCUGUAUUUGCAUCAUCAAUUGUCGAUCUACAAAAGAGAAAUCAAAGAUGUUAAAAAUAUUUCUAAUAAUAAAAUAAAAAAUUAAAUAUAAAGACUAGUACCUAGGUGUUUGAAUUAAAAAAAUAAUCAUUAAAAAAUAUUACCUUUCAAGUGGUACAUAAUUUUGUUGUGUAUUAUAUACUACGUUAAUAAUGUAUUCCAAAUAGAUGAAACUCACCCCCAAGUCCCAAGUAGUGUCCAAUAUGGUGAUAUCCUUGUGUCUUACAAUUCCCAUAGGAUGCUAGAGCCAUAUGGAAGCAUAUAGAAGAUUGAUUGGUCGUGAUUAUUAACACUUUUGAAGGUUUAUUCUAUAUACAUGAUCAGCUGAACUUGUUCUCUUUAAUUUUCAUAAAUGCAUUGACACAGUUUUUUCUUUUUGAUCAUUGGAUAUCCCUGACUUUAAGUUCAUCGAAUUCUAAACUAGGGAAUGCUGUUUGACUUACAACCAUAAUAGUUAGGAAGGUUAUAACUAGAUGGUCACAAUGGUUUUCAAUCACCGAUUGCUUUCUUACGGAACAGAAAAGAAAGGAAAGAUCAUAACUUCUCCCCCACCAGCUUGUGUUAAUUGUCACUACUUAUUGUGGUUUAUUUUAUUUUUCAAAUCACAUUUGGUGACGGUUUCCAAUUCCACCAGCCGCAGAAAUCAAGUUGUAAUUCUAUUGUUUACAGAAUUUCAUUUCUGUUUACCAUUCAUCCUUGUAAUAUCAUAACAAGCAAUGUCAUACUUUUUACUUUUCAUAUUCUCAAAGUUCUUCAAAUCUUUUUAUUUCAAAUUGAAUGAAACAUUAAUUCUCAUUUGAUAAUCGACAUAUACUUGUCUUAGAGUCCUCAGGUGGACAACUUUUGGGGUUUUGGGUCCUCAUUUGUUGUACUGGUUGGUUCUUGAGGUAAAUAAAUCCAGGAUUCCUGAUAUUGAACAUUCAAUUUUCAUGUCUGAAACUUCCAAUAUCCAAAUUCACUCAUGCAAUUCAACUACUCUAUUUUAAAUCAAUUAGAUGGUUUCAGAUACAGAUUUUGUAUUUCCAACAUAAAAAAUCAUGCAAGCUUUUGAUACCCAAAAGACCAUGAUUGGAUUUUUUCUUCUCCCCUCCUCUCCCCUGUAUUGUCAAGUCAUCCAUAAAUUUUCUGCAAUGCCAGACUGUGCAAAAGGUAAUUUUAUCAGUGUAAGUGCUUGCAUUGUUCAUUUCUUCAGACAGCCAUUUACUAUGUCCAACAAUUCAUGCUGUGUUAACCAACUGGGCCUUAGCCCAGUGGUCAGCACCCUGCACUUACAACUGUGAGCGCAGUGGUUCGAGCCCCCACAACGCAUGUAGGGGUUUAUUUUUUUCCUUAAUCAUUAAGUAAAGGCAGUCUUCUCCCUUUCAAAAUGUAAGUGGAGUAGACACUCCUCGAAUUUUAGAGAGGGUAAAAUUUGGGCAGUACUAUAUAAGAAUUAAUGUAAAUUAGGCCCAGUAAUUGUCUGAUUGUAAAUAUUAGUUGUAAAUCUCAUAUAAUAUGAGUUGUAAUCUGAGCAUUAAUCUCAUGUAAUUCAAAAAAAAAAAAAAAUUCAUGCUGUGUUCAAUAAUUAAAGCAACUACGAGUCAAGGUCCUUUUAAGUCGGGAAAAUGACUAGGGUGGUGUGAAUUCACACAUGAAACUUAAUUGGCAUAUUUGUCACUCGGCAAGCUCAAUGGACCCGUUUCAAAUUCACUUUAGAAUCUUUAUUUAUUCUUUAACCAAAGAUAAGGAUUUAAAUACAAAAAAUUCAGCCUCACGAAAGUUAUACAAAAAGCUAUUAAUGAAAUACAUUCAAGAUUAACAAUCACAUUGAUCAAUCAAAUACAUGCCUUGUUUCAUAAGUUCUGAUAUGGAAAUUUCUUCAACAACAGGUUUUCCCAAUGGUGAUUUCCCUGUGAGAAAUUCUUGAGAUACGCGUUGCAUGGUAGGUCGAGACUUGGGUUUUGACUGCAAGCAUGCAAAUGCAACUAUUGAAACAAGAAUAAUAUCAUGAACAACCUUUUGAUCAAGUGGAGAUGGCAGACGUUGGUCUAAAAUAUCUAUCAACCUAAUCUUUCGUUCGGAUGAUGACGAUAAAGAUGAAAGAAGAUCUCCUGGAUGAUUUCCCAUUAAUACUUCUAGUGCCACCACUCCAAAGCUAUAAACAUCACAUUUCUCUGUCAGGGCCAUGGUGUAUGCAAGUUCUACAACAAAAUAGAACCCAUUGUAGAAUUUCUUUGCACAAGUAAAAAACAAAAUAUAUAUAUAUUUGAUUCACUGUUUCUGGAAGCUUCUGCAGCAAGAUAUUUAAGAGAUAUCUAAUUGAUUUUUAAAUACAUUCAAUGUAUAAACAUGAGUAAGAAGCAUGAAAAGAACAGCUAAAGUUUACCUGGAGCAAUAUAUCCAUAUGUCCCCACCACUAGAGUUCUGUUGGAGGAAUCUGGAUGCAGGAGCCUAGCCAAACCAAAAUCAGCAACAAAUGCCUCUAGGUUUGAGUUAAGUAGAAUGUUAUUGCUGGAUAUGUCGCGGUGAACAAUGGAUGGCUUGCAGUCAUAAUGUAGGUAAGACAAAGCAUGAGCCAUACUCUUUACAAUGUUCACUCUCUUAGUCCAAUCCAACUCAACUGCUUCAACAUCAUUGCGUAACACACAGAACAAGCUUCCCCUCUCCAUGUACUCAUAGAUCAAAAACAUGCACUUGUUGUGCAAACAAAAACCAUAAAGCUUCACUAUAUUACGAUGCCGUAUUUGGGAGAGUAGACGAGCUUCAGUUUGGAAACUUUCCAGGAAAGCUGGCUCCUCUGUCUCCGAACGGUGAAGUUUCUUCAAAGCGACUACUUUUCCACUGGACAAUUGUGCUCUGUAAACACUGCCAUAACCUCCGGUUCCAAUGCAAUAUUUGAUGUGGAAAUCCUCUGUCGCUUGAAUCAUCUCUUCAAAUGUAAUUCUACCAUCAUAAUUCCAUAUGGAGAACUCAUUAGCCCCCUCGGUCAUUUCUCGGGUAUUAGGAUUAAAUUUCUUAUCCUUUCGUCUAUGGACAAACAAGAUACCAAAAAUUAAGAUUGCGAAAAUAAAUGCCACCAUAGCAAGAAUGAUUGUGACCAAGCGAGUGACGAUCUUUCGCUGCUUCCCUUUGUUGCCUUUGAACGGUUUUGCUUGGGGUGGCGGUGCAUUUUCUGAACUAGUUGAGUUUUCUAACUCUAGAUUAUUUUCUGACACUAUCAAUUUGGGAAUUAUUCUGACAGAUGCAGGGACAACGCCGGAGAGGUUAUUCUUGGAAAGAUCCACGGCAGAAAUGUUUGGAAUAUUUCCUAGUUGUGAAGGUAUCGUGCCAUUUAUGAAGUUAUGGCUUAAAUCAAGUUGUCUCAGAUGUGUAAGGUUGCCUAUCUCCGACGGAACGAUUCCGCUUAAAGUGUUGUGGCUUAAUACCAAGUUCUGUAACUGCGAGCAAUAUAUGAGUUCUGGAGGAAUGGAGCUGCUGAGCUGAUUGUAACCAAGAUUCAAAGAGGUGAGGUUGGUUAAAUAACCAAUUGUUGGAGGAAUGGAUCCAAUUAGAUUGUUCCCAUCAAGGGAGAGAGAAUCAAGAUACUUCAGAUUUCCUACUUCUCGAGGCAGCAGACCACUAAGUUGGUUUGAAGAAAGAUCCAGAGAUGUUAAGUUGGUUAAAUUUCCUAUGGUCGGUGGAAUUGGACCAUCAAGUCUGUUGUGAGACAAGUCCAACUUUCCCCCCAAGUUUAAAUAACCAAUUGUCGAAGGAAUAGGUCCAGUGAGGUUGUUUCUAUUUAGAAGCAGAGAAUCAAGAUUCUUCAUAUUUCCAACUUCUUUAGGCAGUGGACCAACAAGAUUGUUGUAAGCCAAGUACAAAUUACUUAACUGAUUUAAAUGAUAAAGCGUUGAAGGAAUAGGCCCAGUUAGAUUGUUAUUAUCCAGAAACAGAGACAGAAGAUUCUUCAGAUUUCCAACUUCUUGAGGCAGCCGACCACUAAAUUGGUUUAAAGAAAGGUCCAAACGUGUCAAGUUAGUUAAAUUACCUAUGCUCGAUGGAAUUAGACCAUCCAGUUUGUUACCCCGCAACCUCAGUGCAUCAAGAUCCUUCAAAUUCCCAAAUUCUAAUGGGAUAGAACCAUUGAGAAUGUUAUUAGACAAAUCCAGUUCAACGAGAUUCCUCAAACUACCGAUCUCCGCGGGGAUAGUACCUAUCGUGUGUAUAUAUAUGCAUAUGAUUAAUUAACGAUAAAUGAGCAAUAUUAUCCAGUACCGAUAGGAAAUUAUUGUAUAUGCAAUGAAAUUAUAUAUAAUGGUUACCUGUAAGACUGUUAUAGGGCAGGGCAAGCUCCUCGAGUUUUGAAAGAGCACCAAUUUCUGAUGGUAUCCUUCCGGAAAGAAGAGUGUACGAAAUUAUGAUACUUUCGAGGUUGGGAAAGCAAGUGAAGUUGAGUUGGCUAAGCUCUGCUGCGUUGCC
rnacentral:lncRNA from 1 species